GGCAAUGCGCAUGAGCGCCAGUUCGUAAGACUCGCCACCGCCGGCACUGCUGGCGGCGGCGGCAUCGGUCAAAUGACGAAAGUGGCGAGCUGGCGGCUUUCCUUGAGGGCGAGACGGAGGUCGCAGCCGUCUUGGUCCUUCGGUCGACGGCCGAGCCAGCCGCUUCCUCCGUCUCGCUGGGCAAUUGCGCUUCUCCGUCCGCGCCUCUCUGACCUCGGAGGAGGAGCGCGCGGCGCUCCCCUGAACUUUCCGUCGGAGCAAUAUUGCCAGCCAGCCUUUUUCAUCGAGGGGAGGCUAGUUUCCCCCCUCCCCCCGCUAUCCGUGGCGUCAGGUUGGUGAAGCUCGCCUGGCCUGGCCAGUGAAAGAUCCCUGCGCGGGCAGGAAUGGCCAGUUUUUUAAACCGGGCAGAUGGUGACCAGUGCAGCCUUUAACUGGGUCAGUGGGCCGUCUCAUACCUCGAAAGCUGGAAGGGCUUAAGCGAUCAUCCCGAUCGGGUGAUUUUAAUCAAGUCUGAUGCGCUUUGAUGAUUCAUUGCAGGCAUCACAGCAUCUCUUGGCCAUCAGUGAUUUCACCCAGAAGGAGAGAGGUCAGAGGUAGAGAAUCUGUGGUUCGCAAAAAAUUCAUAACAGUUCUAGACAUCAUGGUCAAUAGAGAAAAACACUUGAGAGUUGUAUGGAAUAUAUGAAUGACCAUUCCUGUUUCCUAUUUCUUAUCUUGAAUUCAUGGGACUAAUAAAAACAGUCUAUUGGGAACGUACCCUAUCACAACUUUCCAGCCAACAUGCCCAGUGUCUUAACUGCUGAGCCCCAAUAGAAGCAGCUGCUGGUUCUACUUGCAUUAUGACUGACCAAGCAUUGUUAGUCAUGGGCUCAACUCCGUAGAGGAAUUGAAUUAUUGCCACUCCAGCACACGCACACCAGGGCCUUUUCCAUUCUGUCAUUCUGAUUUCUACUGGAUGCAGUGAUGAAUUUCUAGAAGCAGCAAGUUUCAUUUUUGUUGCUACUUUAAAAUGUAAGUCUACUAAUAGACUUGUUUAAAAAUAUUUAGAACGGAAUAAAACAUCUUGCCAUUAUUCUGCAAAUGUUUUGUUUAAAACACUUUUCCCGAUAUAUGUGUAUAUGUUUGUUUAUUACAGUAGUUUAUAAUUUUGCAUCGUGGUUAUCAAUUUAAAGCAUCCAUAAUAAUAAUCAUAGCUGCAAUUCUUCACAUCAGUAUAAAAACUGCAAAAUUGUUAUUGCUUUAAAAAAACUCUGAAGCUCUUUGAUCUAUUCCUCUCUGCAAUAUUAUUGAUUCUUCUGAAUAAAGAGUUUGUUAUUUCAACAAAGGCUUUGAAUCCUUUAGAAAGGUUAGCCGCUCUUUCCUACUAUUUGGACAAUUAUCAUGCCACUGCUGCAAGAUAUGCCAAUAAAAAUACAGUAUGGAGAAAAUCGUGCCCACUUUUUGAACUCUACAAGUCAAUAAAUUUAA